GACGAACGCUGGCGGCGUGCUUAACACAUGCAAGUCGAACGCUGAAGCUCAGCUUUUGUUGGGUGGAUGAGUGGCGAACGGGUGAGUAACACGUGAGUAACCUGCCUCCUUCUUUGGGAUAACGCCCGGAAACGGGUGCUAAUACUGGAUAUUCACUGGUCUUCGCAUGGGGGUUGGUGGAAAGGGUUUUUCUGGUGGGGGAUGGGCUCGCGGCCUAUCAGCUUGUUGGUGGGGUGAUGGCCUACCAAGGCUUUGACGGGUAGCCGGCCUGAGAGGGUGACCGGUCACAUUGGGACUGAGAUACGGCCCAGACUCCUACGGGAGGCAGCAGUGGGGAAUAUUGCACAAUGGGCGCAAGCCUGAUGCAGCGACGACGCGUGAGGGAUGGAGGCCUUCGGGUUGUGAACCUCUUUCGCUCAUGGUCAAGCCGCAACAAUGGUUGUGGUGAGGGUAGUGGGUAAAGAAGCGCCGGCUAACUACGUG
rnacentral:rRNA from 1 species